rnacentral:rRNA from 1 species
UACGUAGGGGGCUAGCGUUAUCCGGAAUUACUGGGCGUAAAGGGUGCGUAGGUGGUUUCUUAAGUCAGAGGUGAAAGGCUACGGCUCAACCGUAGUAAGCCUUUGAAGCUGGGAAACUUGAGUGCAGGAGAGGAGAGUGGAAUUCCUAGUGUAGCGGUGAAAUGCGUAGAUAUUAGGAGGAACACCAGUUGCGAAGGCGGCUCUCUGGACUGUAACUGACACUGAGGCACGAAAGCGUGGGGAGCAAACAGG